GGGACUCUUGCAGUCCAAACCCCAAGGCUUGUUGUAAGGAUAAGCAACACGGCAAGAAAAUAGCUCAGUCGGUAGAGCACGGGACUCCUGACCUCAGGGUCGUGUGGGUUCGAGCCCCCAUGCUGGUCAAAAAGAUUCCUGCAUUGCAGGGGGUUGGACUAGAUGACCCUUAGGAUCCCUUCCAAUUCUUUGAUUCUGGGACCGGCUGGUCUGCUGAAACUUCUGAGGCUGCCCGCUUCCCCAGACAAGCUGCGCACGCCCUUAGCUUGCCUUCAAACAUCCUGCAGAAUCGCUGGUGGUGGUGCUGAACUGACCUAGGCAGAAGGAGCUCUCGAUGGGUAAGAGCAGGGGCAGGUAACCUAAGGCCUGGGGGCCGGAUCUGGCCCAGUCGCCUUCUCAACCCGGCCCGCGGACGGUCCAGGAAUCGGCAUGUUUUUACAUGAGUGGAAUGUGUGCUUUUAUUUUAAAUGCAUCUCUGGGUUAUUUGUGGGGCAUAGGAAUUCGUCCAUUUUUUCCUUCAAAAUAUAGUCCGGCCCACUACGUGGUCUGAGGGACGUGGACCGGCCCACGGCUGAAAAAGGUUGCUGACCCCUGGGUAAGAGGAACCCCUGGGCUGAAUUUCAUAGCCCUUUGCUAUGUUGGUGCAAUGUGAACAGUGGGUUAAAUUAUGCAGUACUUGGUCUUGUGACGUCUUGAGGAGCCCUCCCUCUAUAUCUGGAGGCUCUGAGAUAAGGGUGCGGGGGGGGGGCAGGUGGCGUAAGCAUGGCCCCCGCUUUGCUCUGGUUGCAAGAGCUGGUCUGGCCUGGCAGGCUCCAUUCAUCUUCUGUGGCCCACCCCUGCCUGGUAUGAAUCUGCACCGUCCUGGGCACCAGCAAACACUGCUACGCCACUGAAAGAGAGGUAUCAGAGUGGGUGGUCCUGUGCUAAGGUCAAGGCUUUCUGGGACAUUAUUUACAAUGAAUUAAAAAAAAUAUUAAAAUAAAACUUUAGCAAAAAACCAGAGGCAUUCUUAGUAGGGUUAGAGACUGGUAACAGAGAACAAAAAGGAUGUGAAGUUGCAUCCGUUUCCACUUUAAAGCAGAUAUUAUUCCCCAGCAGGUGGUGCUGCGAUGUCAGUGUUUAGCCAGCUCAUCUGAUCUCUCUUUGCUACAGUGACGGGCUUAAACGUGAGCCACAAAUGGCAACGAUCUAAUUUCCAUGAAUGAAAGCUUCCGGUGUAGCUGAGGCACAAACAGGGAGCCCAGUGAACCUGCCGUGGCAAAAGCCAAACUUCAGCAAAAGGGACAAUUGAUAAAUUCUGCUUUGUGCAAUUUAGAUCCUACCUAGUUUCAUCCAUCAUGGAACUCGUUUAAGCUACCGACCCAAAAUAUGCUACAAAUAUGCUAAAAAUUUGGGGAGAAAUUUGAUUCAGUUCAAAUUCAAAGAUGAACCUACGUAAUUCACAUUUUCCAAAGCGGUACACAAACUGAAACCUAGCCGUCGUUUGGAAUUUGCACUUCUCCAAGUUUCGCAACACCCUUCGGCC